rnacentral:rRNA from 1 species
GAUGAAUGCUAGCUACAGGCUUAACACAUGCAAGUCGAGGGGUAACGAGAGGGAAGCUUGCUUUCCUUGUCGACGACCGGCGCACGGGUGAGUAACGCGUAUCCAACCUGCCCCCAACUAGGGAAUAACCUUGCGAAAGUAAGACUAAUACCCUAUAAUUUCCUCAGAUGUCAUCUGACGAGGAAUAAAGAUUUAUCGGUUGUGGAUGGGGAUGCGUGUGAUUAGCUUGUUGGCGGGGUAACGGCCCACCAAGGCAACGAUCAGUAGGGGUUCUGAGAGGAAGGUCCCCCACAUUGGAACUGAGACACGGUCCAAACUCCUACGGGAGGCAGCAGUGAGGAAUAUUGGUCAAUGGGCGGAAGCCUGAACCAGCCAAGUAGCGUGCAGGAUGACGGCCCUAUGGGUUGUAAACUGCUUUUAUACAGGAAUAAAGUUAGCCACGUGUGGUUAUUUGUAGGUACUGUAUGAAUAAGGACCGGCUAAUUCCGUGCCAGCAGCCGCUGUAA